rnacentral:rRNA from 1 species
AGCAGUCGCCGCGGUAAUACGAAGGGUGCAAGCGUUACUCGGAAUUACUGGGCGUAAAGCGUGCGUAGGUGGUGGUUUAAGUCCGUUGUGAAAGCCCUGGGCUCAACCUGGGAAUUGCAGUGGAUACUGGGUCACUAGAGUGUGGUAGAGGAUAGUGGAAUUUCCGGUGUAGCAGUGAAAUGCGUAGAGAUCGGAAGGAACAUCUGUGGCGAAGGCGACUAUCUGGGCCAACACUGACACUGAGGCACGAAAGCGUGGGGAGCAAACAGGAUUAGAUACCCCCGUAGUCCCUGUCUCUUAUAU